UACGAAGGGUGCAAGCGUUACUCGGAAUUACUGGGCGUAAAGCGUGCGUAGGUGGUUUGUUAAGUCUGCUGUGAAAGCCCCGGGCUCAACCUGGGAAUGGCAGUGGAUACUGGCAAGCUAGAGUGCGGUAGAGGGUAGUGGAAUUCCCGGUGUAGCGGUGAAAUGCGUAGAGAUCGGGAGGAACACCAGUGGCGAAGGCGGCUACCUGGACCAGCACUGACACUCAGGCACGAAAGCGUGGGGAGCAAACAGGG
rnacentral:rRNA from 1 species